rnacentral:rRNA from 1 species
GACGAACGCUGGCGGCGUGCCUAAUACAUGCAAGUAGAACGCUGAAGGAGGAGCUUGCUUCUCCGGAUGAGUUGCGAACGGGUGAGUAACGCGUAGGUAACCUGCCUGGUAGCGGGGGAUAACUAUUGGAAACGAUAGCUAAUACCGCAUAAGAGUAGAUGUUGCAUGACAUUUGCUUAAAAGGUGCAAUUGCAUCACUACCAGAUGGACCUGCGUUGUAUUAGCUAGUUGGUGAGGUAACGGCUCACCAAGGCGACGAUACAUAGCCGACCUGAGAGGGUGAUCGGCCACACUGGGACUGAGACACGGCCCAGACUCCUACGGGAGGCAGCAGUAGGGAAUCUUCGGCAAUGGACGGAAGUCUGACUGAGCAACGCCGCGUGAGUGAAGAAGGUUUUCGGAUCGUAAAGCUCUGUUGUAAGAGAAGAACGAGUGUGAGAGUGGAAAGUUCACACUGUGACGGUAGCUUACCAGAAAGGGACGGCUAACUACGUG